rnacentral:tRNA from 1 species
GUGAGCGUAGCUCAGUCGGUAGAGCGCCGGAUUGUGAUUCCGGUGGUCGUGGGUUCAAGUCCCAUCGUUCACC